CAUUUCAUUUCCAAACAUCAUCACAACAACCUUGAAAACAACAACCUUAAUCUACUUCUCAUACGCUGUGAUGUCCCCUCUGUUCAUGGUGCUUGUGAUGGAUUGUUGUGUUUACAAGAAUCUUCAACGGAUAAGGCUGCCAUUUGGAACCCAUCAACCAGAGAGUUUAAAAUCCUUCCACCGUCUUCAAUACAAUGCCCUCCA